rnacentral:rRNA from 1 species
GAUGAACGCUGGCGGCGUGCAUAACACAUUCAAGUCGAACGAAGCACUUUAGAUGGAGACUUCGGUCAAAGCCUAUUGUGACUUAGUGGCGGACGGGUGAGUAACGCGUGAGCAACCUGCCUUCGUUUGUGGGAUAACAGCUGGAAACGGCUGCUAAUACCGCAUGAUAUAGCGACAUCGCAUGGUGACGCUAUCAAAGAUUUAUCGAACGAAGAUGGGCUCGCGUCCGAUUAGGUAGUUGGUGAGGUAACGGCUCACCAAGCCGACGAUCGGUAGUCGGACUGAGAGGUUGAGCCGCCACAGUGGAACUGAGACACCGUCCAGACGCCUACGGGAGGCAGCAGUGGGGUAUAUUGGGCAAUGGGCGAAAGCCUGACCCAGCGACGCCGCGUGAGGGAAGACGGUCUUCGGAUUGUAAUCCUUUGUCAACCGGGACGAAACAAAUGACGGUACCUGUGGAGGAAGCCACGGCUAACUACGUGCCAGCCGCCGCAGUAAUCC